UGAUGAAUUAGGAGUCACUGUGUUCAUCAAGUAUUUGUCUUGCAAUUAGUUUGCUUGUCACAAUCUAAUCCAUCAUAUAUGUUAUAUUGGCCUAGGUUUUUGGUUGCGUUUGAGCUUACUCUAUUAGAGCCUAAAAUGCACGAUUGGCACUCAUUUGAUAAUUUCACACAUAUCAGGAGCAUUUUCUACUGUUUCAUUGUCAAAAGGGAUAGAUAACAAAUUUAAGGUGCAGCAGGCCAAAAACAGCCACCUUCAAUUCCCGAGAUGGGUUCUACUUCUCAAGACCGAAAAAGGAAGCGCUUUGCAAUAGAUGGAGAGGAGGAAACAUUCAGUUUGCAGAAUCAGUUGAUUGAGGUCAUGGAAAGGAAUGGUAAAAUGCUGGCUGACUAUUUUGAGGCUCAGAAUUCUCAUUCGCAAAUGGAUAGGGAGCAGAGGAAAGAACAUUCUGAUAGCUUAAUUGUUGUUCUUAACAAGCUUGCAGAUGCUUUCAUGAGAAUCGCCGAUAAGUUGUAGGGAAGGCAAUCAGAAAUCAGUGUACAUAAGAGAAGUCUCUUCAAGACUCGUAGAUGUUAGCGGGGCUGAGAAUUGGUGGAUCAAAUUUGAUCAUUUAUCUCGUGGGAGGGCACUGACAUGUUCUUCUACUUAUUUAUUUACUUUAAAUUUUUCUCACGUCUUGUUGGUCUGUGCUACCUUUGUGGCGUAGUUCCACCAUCAAAUGCAUAGAAUCCAUACACAGAUAAUGUCUAGAAAUUUCAAAGGGUUAACACAUUUUGGCUGCUUUUUCUUAAAUGUUUAGAAUUUCAAAGAUUUAGCACAUUGUGAUGUUUUUCUUUCAUAUAUCCAGCUCUAAUGGAAUUUGAAUUCCCUGUCAAAUGUCUCGGUGACUGUACAGGUUCUUGAUAUCAAUAAGAAUGUUACAUUGUUAGUUACGUCUACUGCUGUUCCUAAUAAGUAGUGCAAAUGGAGGAGGUCCUGACUAUUAAGAACAGCUUGUCAGAAGGGCUGAGAGGGCUGGUUACAAGGCAAUAGUCCUUACUGCUGACACUCCAAGGCUCGGGCGCAGGGACACUGAUAUCAAGAACAGGUUUACUAUGCCACCAAGUUUGACAUUGAAAAACUUUGAAAAUUUGGAUCUUGGAAAGAUUGAUGAGACCAAUGAUUCUGGAUUAGCAUUGUAUGUUGCUGGACUAUUUGCCCGCUCUCUCAGCUGGAAGGAUGUGAAAUGGCUUCAGUCAAUCACUACAUUACCAAUUCUGUUAAAGGGCGUAAUUACUGCUGAGGAUAGUAAGUAAACACAUUAUUAACUUCAACCUCCUAUCCAAAAUUUACUUCUGUGCUUGAUGCUAAUACCUUGUUACAAACUUGUCAUAUAUGUGCUAACAUUAAUGCAACAAGGUUAUGCAUACAAGCUGGAGCUGCAGGAAUAAUUGUAUCCAAUCAUGGAGCUCGGCAACUAGAUUAUGUCCCUGCAACUAUUAUGGCUUUGGAAGAGUGGGCGGUAAAGGAUCAGAAAUGGUAUACCCAACAACAACUUGACGAGGUGUGCAUUGAAGUAGCCGACUACUUACAGACUGCUGUAGAUUCUGACCAGUUUCUUGAUUUUGAGUUGGACUAGCUUUUGAUUAACUUUUGUAUAGCAAUUAUGAACAAAAAUGAAUACUAAUUGCUAGGCUAGCCUUGUAGUAGGUGAGUUGAGGUUUUAUUUUGCCCAUUUUGUAAACUGUUUAGGAUGUGAUUUUAGAUAAAAUAUCCCAAUAUUCAAAUCACUCUUACUCUUGUUAACUGUCGAAAUUGCAAUUUAUAGCAGCAGCUACAUAUUCUGUGGACAUCAUCCUCUUUAUAGAAUAUGAUGACUAGAUAUAAAGUUGAAAUCAGUUUUAACCAUAAAAACUGAUGUCCAGUAAUACAGAUACAUCA